ACGAACGCUGGCGGCGUGCUUAACACAUGCAAGUCGAACGGAAAGGCCCUGCUUUUGUGGGGUGCUCGAGUGGCGAACGGGUGAGUAACACGUGAGUAACCUGCCCUUGACUUUGGGAUAACUUCAGGAAACUGGGGCUAAUACCGGAUAGGAGCUCCUGCUGCAUGGUGGGGGUUGGAAAGUUUCGGCGGUUGGGGAUGGACUCGCGGCUUAUCAGCUUGUUGGUGGGGUAGUGGCUUACCAAGGCUUUGACGGGUAGCCGGCCUGAGAGGGUGACCGGCCACAUUGGGACUGAGAUGCGGCCCAGACUCCUACGGGAGGCAGCGGUGGGGAAUAGUGCACAAUGGGCGGAAGCCUGAUGCAGCAACGCCGCGUGCGGGAUGACGGCCUUCGGGUUGUAAACCGCUUUCGCCUGUGACGAAGCGUGAGUGACGGUAAUGGGUAAAGAAGCACCGGCUAACUACGUG
rnacentral:rRNA from 1 species